GAGGGGAGGGAGUUGAGGUAGGGGAGGGAGUUCAGGCGGGGAGUUAAGGGCAGGGAGAGAGAGAGAGAGAGAGAGAGUGAGAGAAUCUUAAGGAGGCUCCACGCUCAGUGCAGAGCCCAUUGUGGGUCUCAAUCCCACAACCCUGGGAUCAUAACCUGAGCCAAAAGUGAGUCAGGUCCUCAACAGACUGAGCCACCCAGGUGCCCUUCAGCCUAUUUUCUAAAACUGGCCAUUACACUCCCUUAGGCCCUCUGUUCUAACCAAGCAGCCCUCUAAACUUGUUUUAAAAAGCCCCUCUCCCCAUUGGCAUUCUUCCUCUUGUCCAUAAAAUACUUAACUGCUCUGCUUUUGAAAGUCCGUACAAUUACAGGUGCCUCAUAUCAAUAGGUCAAAUAAAUGUCAUUUGAUCCUCUCACUAGAAGCUAAAAAGACAACCAGUUAAAGCCAACAAACAUCCUGGAUAUUUAAAACCUCUUCCUAGGGGCGCCUCGGUGGCUUAGUCAGUUAAAUGACUGACUCUUGGUUUCAGCUCAGGUCAUGAUCUCACAGGUGGUAGGUUCAGCCCCCACCUCAGGCUCUGUGCUAACAGCUCAGAGCCUGGAGCCUGCUUCAGAUUCUGUGUCUCCCCCUCUCUCCCCGCCCCUUCCCCACUCAUGCUCUGUCUCUGUCUCUUGAAAAUGAAUAAACAUUUUUUAAAAAGCUGUUUUAAAUGACACAACAGAAAAAUGAUCAAAGGUCUUAAAAAGAAAAUUUAUAGGGGCACCUGGGUGGCUCAGUCGGUUAAGCGUCCGACUUAGGCUCAGGUCAUGAUCUCGCCAUUCACGAGUUCAAGCCCCGUGUCAGGCUCUGUGCUGACAGCUCAGAGCCUGGAGACUGCUUCAGAUUCUGUGCCUCCCUCUCUCUCUGCCCCUCCCCCGUUCAUGCUGUCUCUGUCUCUCAAAAAUGAAUAAACGUUAAAAAAAAUUUUUUAAGAAAAUUUACAGAAGAAAAAUUCAAAUGGAAUAUUAACAUACAAAAAAAAAAACCACUCAACCCCUCUAGUAAUCAGAGAAUACAAUUUUUUUGAAGUGCUUCUUUUUUACCCAUCCAUUGGAAAAAGUGUUUAUGUGUCUGUUAAUGUCAAGUGUUGGCCAGGGCAUAAGGAAACAAGCUGUCGUGCUCUGCUGGUGGGAGCCUCAACUGAUACCACCACUCAGGAGGGCAACUUGGAGUAGCUGUGAAGACGAGAGAUGUUUGUUUCGAUCCAGCAGCUCUACUUGUAGGUAUCUAGCCUGGAGAAACACUGGCACAUGGGGCAAAGAGCAGUUUUGGUAUGCUGCCCAUCUCCUAGGGCUUCUAUGACAAAGCACCGCAAAUCAGGUAUCCUAAAGUGUCAGAAAUUUAUUGUCACACAGUUCUAGAGACUGGGAGUACAACAUCAAGGUGUUGUCAGGACCAUGCUCCCUUUGAAACCUGGAGGGGAGAAUCCUUCCUUGCCUCUUCUAGCUUCUAGAAGGAGCUUCUAGCUUCUAGUAUCUGCUAGAAAUCCCUGACAUUCCUUGGCUUACUCUGAUCUCUGCCUCUGUCAUCACAUGACUGUCUUUUCUCACAACAUCCUUCCUCUGUUGCCAAAUGUCUCUCUUCUUAUAAGAACACCAGUCAUACUGGAACAUAAGCCUACCCUAUUCCAGCCUGACCUCAUCUGAAUCAAUUACCUCUACUAUGACACUAUUUCUAAAUAAGGUCACAUUUCAAAGUCAUAGGGGUUAGGACUUCAACAGAGGUUCUGGGAGGACACUCUUCAACCUACAAUUCUACCUUUCAUGUAAAAUAGAAGGGGACAGGGGCACCUAGCUAGUCAAUGGGGUGAGUGACUCUUGAUCUCAGGGUCAUGGGUUGGGGCCCCACGGUGGGUGCAGAAAUUACUUAAAAAUAAAAUCUUGGGGCGCCUGGGUAGCUCAGUUGGCUAAGCGUCCAAGUUCAGCUCAGGUCAUGAUCUCAUGGUUCGCGAGUUCAAGCCCCACUUUGGGCUCUACGAGGACCCUCAGAGCAUGGAGGCUGCUUCGGAUUCUGUGUCUCCCUCUCUCUCUGCUCUCCCCACUCACUCUCUCUCUCUCUCUCUCUCUCUCUCUCUCAAAAAUAAAUAAAGAUUUUAAGAUUUUUUUAAUAAAAAAAUAAAAAUAAAAUCUUGAAAAAAAUAAAGGAAAAAAGGGGUCAUAAGCUAAUAUAUAUGUAUCUGUUUAUUUGUGCAAAAUGAAAGAGUGAUAGAAGAACCAAGGAGCCAAGCAGACAACAGGAAGCUGGCAGCGGGAAGCCACUACCACCACGAGGCAGUCUCGGCCCCAACAAAGAGCCCAGGGCAAGCUUACAAACGCAGCCCACCUCUCAUGUACCUGAAUGUUUAUAGGUGUAAGUCAAAUGAUGAAUUGUUAAACAACGAUGUUCCAACCUCCUACCUUACACAUACCUUUGUGAUGACCAAUUUUCAAAUAUGUGUAAAGUUAUAUUUGAGUAUGAAUACAAUUUGGCAAAAUAUCAAAGACAACCAAAUUA